UGUGGGCUGCAUGUGGUCCAGGACUGUUUUGAAUGCAGCCCAACACAAAUUCAUAAACUUUCUUAAAACAUUACGAGAUUUAUUUGUGUGUGUGU